GUCCCUUUUCACAGAAUGUGCAGAUGUCAUUUUAUCAUACAGGGCUUUACUCGAGGUCCAUAUCACCAAAUGGACCAUUUCUCUAUUCUUCCUACAGGUUUAUCUGCAUGACCAAAUUCUCAUAUUUCUGAAUGUCCUGCUGUCAGCUGAUAGUGGUGCAGGUGCUCCCAUCCCACAGCAAUCAUGAGGGCCUAUGGAAGACUACUGACUAAUGGCGAGAGUGAGGAGAUGGAAUAGGGACAUCAUGGUAGAAGUCUCCUGGUGGCCUGGACCAAGUGCCCAGCCUGAGAGGAUGCCUUAUGAGGGAUUUGCAUGGGAACUGGGUCUCAGUCCAAAAACUACUUGCAUGCUCCCAAAAAAAAGGAAGCUGGUAUUCAGCCGAGUGGUGACUGCUGCAGGAACGCAACCACACGGUGUGUCAGAGUCAGGGUCUACGUGA
rnacentral:lncRNA from 1 species